rnacentral:rRNA from 1 species
CCUACGGGUGGCAGCAGUGAGGAAUAUUGGUCAAUGGCCGGAAGGCUGAACCAGCCAUGCCGCGUGAAGGUCAGUGCCCUAUGGGCGUUAAACUUCUUUUGUGCGGGAGCAAUAAUGGUCACGUGUGGCCAGACGAGAGUACCGUACGAAUAAGCAUCGGCUAACUCCGUGCCAGCAGCCGCGGUAAUACGGGGGAUGCAAGCGUUAUCCGGAUUUAUUGGGGUUAAAGGGGUCGUAGGCUGUGAGGUAAGUCAGCGGUGAAAUGCCCCCGCUCAACGGGGUGAAGUGCCAUUGAUACUGCCUUGCUGGAAUGCGGAUGCCGUGGGAGGAAUGUGUGGUGUAGCGGUGAAAUGCAUAGAUAUCACACAGAACACCGAUUGCGAAGGCAUCUCACGAAUCCGCGAUUGACGCUGAUGCACGAAAGCGUGGGUAUCAAACAGGAUUAGAUACCCCAGUAGUC